rnacentral:rRNA from 1 species
GGAAUUUUCCGCAAUGGGCGAAAGCCUGGCGGAGCAACGCCGCGUGAGGGAUGAAGGCCUCUGGGCUGUAAACCUCUUUUAUCAAGGAAGAAGAUCUGACGGUACUUGAUGAAUAAGCCACGGCUAAUUCCGUGCUAGCAGCCGCGGUAAUACGGGAGUGGCAAGCGUUAUCCGGAAUUAUUGGGCGUAAAGCGUCCGCAGGCGGUCUUGUAAGUCUGUCGUUAAAGCGUGGAGCUUAACUCCAUUUAAGCGAUGGAAACUGCAAGACUAGAGUGUGGUAGGGGCAGAGGGAAUUCCCGGUGUAGCGGUGAAAUGCGUAGAUAUCGGGAAGAACACCAGUGGCGAAGGCGCUCUGCUGGGCCAUAACUGACGCUCAUGGACGAAAGCCAGGGGAGCGAAAGGGAUUAGAUACCCCUGUAGUC